rnacentral:lncRNA from 1 species
CCUUUAAACUUCACACAUGAGUCAGCCUGUGCCAGAGCGCACAUAACAGUCCCGCAGGCCACAUAUCAAGAUGUCCUAAAUUUAGAUCAGCACCAACUGCAACUGCCACUUCCUGCCACUUAGGUCAUGCUCUGAUACCUACAGUGAGCUGUACAUCCGGCUUCUUUUCCAGAAGAACCAUGUCGCCAGGCAAGCCAAAGGACUUGGCUUGAUUUCCAGGAAAUGAUGCUCAUGCAGCAAUAGCAGAGGCCCACUGAGGGCCCAGAAGAACAGCAGGACAUCAUUACCUUGUCCCCCAGGUGCCAGCCCAGCAUAUCCACAAACUGGAAAGAGGGAGAGAAGCAAGGGAUGGAAACGUCUUGGUCGUGGCAUCCCUGGGGUGAUGGGUGCAUGAUGUACUACAGAAAGCUCCACGGGCAGCCUCCUUGCCUCAGAGGCCUCCUUUAUGCGUCUACUCCUGCACCUGCCCUCCCGAGCCAGAGCCCCGUCUGACCCAUUGCCACUGGGAGUUCUGGGAAGGCAGUGGCCUUACAUGUGUGGGAUUUAUCUUUGUAACCCAGCACACAUCAUUGUUCUUGACAUUUAGUAGGUGAUCAAUGAGUGUUUGAAUAAUAAAGAAAUAAGUGUAUGAAUAAAAACUAGGACCAUGGCGCAUUUAAUGGCAAGCUCCUUAUAAAGAAAAAUGUGAUGUGGAAUUCAGUGGCCUGCUAUUAUUAUUUUUCUCUAAAUGGAGCAUCAAAAUUAAAUCUUUUCCUGGUCACAAAGGAAGCCAGUUAAUUUUGAGGUAAAAAAAAAAGAAAGAACUGAGCAAGCAUAGGAUUGGAUUAAUGCUUUCUGGUUCCCAGGGGAUAAGAGACUUCAGAGCAGAUUUACAAAGUAUUUUUUUUUUCCAAUUACUAGCUACACUCCUUUUAGGAGACAGGCAGUAAAAGAUAUGAAAUAGGCAGGCAGUAAAAUAUAUAAAAUAGUAUUUUUGGGGCCAGGUGCGGUGGGUCACAUCUGUAAUCACAGCACUUUGGGAGGCCGAGGUGGGUGGAUCACCUGAGGUCAGGAGUUCAAGACCUGUCUGGCCAACAUGGUGAAACCUUGUUUCUAUUACAUAUAAAAAUUAGCCGGGUGUGGUGGGGCAUGCCUGUAAUUCCAGCUACUCAGGAGCCUGAGGCAGAAGAAUCGCUUGAACCCGGGAGGCAGAGGUUGCAGUGAGCCAAGAUCAUGCCACUGCACUCCAGCCUGGGUGACAGAGCGACACUCCAUCUUAAAAAAAAAAAAAAAAAAUCUUUUUUUGAGUACUUGUUGGAUAUAAGACAUGACUCACACAAAGAAGGCAAGCAUGAGGUUACUGGUUCAUGGAAUAAUGAAAACAAGAAAAGUUUUAGUUUUAUGAAGUUAAUUUUAAAAAUGCCCAAAGAAGGCCGGGUGUGGUGGCUCACACCUGUAAUCCCAGCACUGUGGGAGGCCAAGGUGGGAGGACUGCUUGAGCCCAGGAGUUUGAGACCAGCCUGGGCAGCAUGGCAAAACCCUGACUCUACAAAAAAUACAAAAAUUAACCAGGUGUGGUGGUGCAUGCCUGUAGUCCCAGCUACUCAGGAGGCUGAGGCAGGAAGAUUGCUUGAGCCCUGGAAGCGAAGGUUGCAAUGAGCUGUGAUCACACCACUACACUCCAGCCUAGGCAACAGAGACCCUGUCUCAAAAAAAAAAAAAAAAAAAGAAAAGAAAAGUGACCAAAGAAAAGAUAUGAUAAAAUAGGUGAGAAGGAAAGCAAAACAGAAAGAAGAGAAGUAAAAAUGAGAAGUGAGGGGUGUGAUAUUGUGACAUAACAAGACAUCAUGAGAGAUGCGGAUUUGGCUAUUACUACCAGUUUCUGGCACAGAGCUCCUAAAACCCUUGUAAUUUCCUGAAUGAUAGGGGUGAUAGGAGCAUCUUUUGCCAUAGUAAUUGGUCUUAGUCCACAGUUCCUGAGGCCAGAGCUUCUAAGACCCUUGGACUCUGAUGUGGUAAUAGUGUCUCUUUGUGUGCUAAUGAGAUAAGUGGUGGCUGAGUCCUCUGGGUAGCUUCAGGAUGGGGGCUUGUAGCCAGGAAGACCAAGGUAGGAUGAGAGGGUUGGGACUUUCAGCCCUACCCCCAACCUCUGAGGAAGGGAGAGGGACUAGAGAUUGAGUUAAUUAUCAAUAGCUAAUGAUUUAAUCAAUCAUGCCUACAUGAAAGAGCCACCAAAAAACAAACAAACAAACAAAAAACCCUAAAUGGUAGUUUGGGAGAGCUCCUGGGUGGGUAAACACGUCUGCAUGCCAGGAGGAUGGUGCGCCCUAACUCCCAUGCCUGGAACCCUCUGGAC